UACGAAGGGGGCUAGCGUUGCUCGGAAUUACUGGGCGUAAAGGGCGCGUAGGCGGACAGUUAAGUCAGAGGUGAAAGCCCAGGGCUCAACCCUGGAAUAGCCUUUGAUACUGGCUGUCUUGAGUGCGGGAGAGGUGUGUGGAACUCCGAGUGUAGAGGUGAAAUUCGUAGAUAUUCGGAAGAACACCAGUGGCGAAGGCG
rnacentral:rRNA from 1 species